GUGCACGCUGGCGGUAGGCCUCACCCCUUCCAGUCGCACGGCAGCACAGUAAGAGCUUGCUCUUACGGGUGGCGAGUGGCGGACGGGUGAGGAAUACAUCGGAAUCUACUUUUUCGUGGGGGAUAACGUAGGGAAACUUACGCUAAUACGGCAUACGACUUACGGGUGAAAGCAGGGGAUCUUCGGACCUUGCGCGAUUGAAUGAGCCGAUGUCGGAUUAGCUAGUUGGCGGGGUAAAGGCCCACCAAGGCGACGAUCCGUAGCUGGUCUGAGAGGAUGAUCAGCCACACUGGAACUGAGACACGGUCCAGACUCCUACGGGAGGCAGCAGUGGGGAAUAUUGGACAAUGGGCGCAAGCCUGAUCCAGCCAUACCGCGUGGGUGAAGAAGGCCUUCGGGUUGUAAAGCCCUUUUGUUGGGAAAGAAAAGCAGCAGGUUAAUACCCCGCUGUUCUGACGGUACCCAAAGAAUAAGCACCGGCUAACUUCGUG
rnacentral:rRNA from 1 species